rnacentral:lncRNA from 1 species
CUUCAUUAGGUACAAUGGGUUUCACAAUGACCUUCUCAGCAAGUGCCGGAGGAGGUGGAGGGGGCGGAGGUGGGGGAGGCGGAGGCGGAGGAGGAGGUGGAGGGGGCUCCAUCAACAUAGCAUCGUAGCCACUCAUGUCUAUCUCAUGGUCAAAUCUCUUUGGCGUCGUGCCUAUCCUUUCAACAUUUCUCUCUUCCUUGUUCGGUAGCUUUGCAAUAGCCCCCAUUCUUCCCCUCUCUGUUUGAUUACCC